rnacentral:rRNA from 1 species
CACGUAGGGCGCAAGCGUUGUCCGGAAUUAUUGGGCGUAAAGAGCUCGUAGGCGGUCUGUUGCGUCCGCUGUGAAAACUCGGGGCUUAACCCCGAGCCUGCAGUGGAUACGGGCAGACUGGAGGUAGGUAGGGGAGAAUGGAAUUCCCGGUGUAGCGGUGAAAUGCGCAGAUAUCGGGAGGAACACCGGUGGCGAAGGCGGUUGCCUGGAGCUUUGCUGACGCUGAGGCGCGAAAGCGUGGGGAGCGAUCCGG